GCCACCAGUGCCCCUCGCGCGCCGCCCUUGCUCCCUCGCCCGCGGGCGGUGCUCGCGCGUGCCACUGGCUGCGCAUCGUCAGGGCGCCACCAGCCUCCCCACUGGCCACCCUCACCACCACACGCGCCUUCCUCUCCGGAGAUCCUGUGAUCGUCGUCGGCUCCCAUCUGCCGCUGGGAGCGUCCGCCAUCCGCCUCUUGCAGAUCCCAUUGCUGGCUCUCGUCUGCCUCCUGCAGAUCUCACCGCCGGGAGCAUCCGCCGCCACCUCAUGUAGAUCCUGUCGGUGUCUGGAGCGUCUGCUGUGUGCCAAUUGCAAAUCCCAUUGCCGGCUCCCGUCCACCUCCUAGAGAUCCCGCCGCUGGCUCCCGUCCACCGCCGGGAGCGUCUGCCGCCACCUCCUGUAGAUCCUGUCACCGCCGUCUCAGUUCGCCGCCCGCUGCCGGCUUGGUUCGCCCUGCCCACCUCGUUGCCUCCGUCGGGCUUGGCCCCUGUAGUCGGCCGCCCCUACCCACCUCCCUGCAACCGAUGCCAUGCCCCUAGGCUUGGCCCCCACCGCCGGCUGCCCCUGCCUGCCUCCCUGCACAUUUGUCAUAAGUAGAAGUGUUCAGGGUAAAUUUGCAAAAUAGCUUUCUUCCUAAUCUCUGUUCCUAUGCUCUUCAAUGUGUUCAAAUUGACAUCUUUAGGUAUUUAUAAUAAGAUUGAACUCUACAAUCCAUCUGUUCGGUGCUAAAUGCAAUAUUUCUGGUGAUUCCAUUGAUCGUCACAGAUAGAGGACUAUCUGGUAAUUUAUUACAUACCUGUUGGAUGAACAUAUUUUUCAGUACAAUAGCAGUAGUUUGUGCAUUUGAGCUUCACGAGUUAAUGGAACACAAUUCUCAUUUAUUUGCAAAUAAUUUUUUGGAUAAUUAGAAACCCACUUAAGCCCAUAUUUUAUCAUGGGGCCUUUUGUUAUAAACUUCGUGUUAGAGUUGAUUAUAUGCUGAAAACAUUGUAAUUGACCCACAAGUUUGCAUGUCAAGUUGAUGCUGAGGUUGUGACUGUAUCUACUCUAGGAAAAUUUCGUUGUAAUACAGUGUACUAAUGUAUUGCUCUUCUGUUCAUUGACAUCUUAAAUAUCAUGAUAAAUUUUGUAUAAAAGAAAAAUGCACAUCUUGAGCUCAACUAAUAUUAUUUCUUACUAACUUAUCAUUGUUGAUUUACGUUAUCAGUAUGCAAUGUACUGAAGCUUUAUAUAUUUUUUUACUAUAUUGGUUUGCAACAUACAAAAGGAUCCAGCUCAGCGGAUGUCUGCUGUAGAACUCUUGGUCAGCAUUGCCUUUUGACUGAUUUAAGUUUCUAGUGAAUCUGACUGUUGGUUGCUUAUUGAGUAAGUUGUACUGAAUUAUCAUUUAUGUUCUCAUAGAAUCACCCUUUCCUGAAGAAGUUUGAGGAUAAAGAUUUAGACCUGCGGAUUCUUGUGGCUUCCUUGUUAGGCCUUAGUAGUUAUCUCUCACUUUGGAAAUUUUUUGACGCACGUAGCUAGCUUCCUGCUAGCCUGACUUAUCUGGUGUUGGGCCUGCAUGUGUUAAGUUUUAUUCAUUAAAUUGCACAAGUGACAUUAGAAGUGAUUAGUGCAUAUAAUGAACCUUCUAAAUAAAAGGAAUAGAUAGGAGCUUAUAAUCAAAGUUGUGUAUGUAGUUUUCCUAUGGUGCUCAAUUAGUGUAAUGUCUCUAUGCUUUUAUGUAUGGCUCUGUGAUAGUGUAAUAACGAGUUCACGUAAACAAUGACUAUUGAUGCAAGUUCUUUUAUUUUCCUAGUAGUUAUUUCUAUGUUUUAUGACUAUUGUAUGGCUAUGUGCUCUGUGAUUAUCUAUGCUUUUAUGCUUUUAUUCAAAUAACAAAUUACUUAACAAAAUAAUAAUAUAGUUUCUUCCUUGUGCUAUACUUUCUAGAAAUUUUUCUUUCCUGUUGCUAUGUUGUCUAGUUUUUGUUGAGUAUUAGUUGUACUCAUAAUUCAAAGUGCAGGAUACUAAGCGGCAGGAGGAGGCAUAGCUUGCUGUCGCUUGGGUAUCCAACACACAGCUGUAUUGGCUUCACAUGGAGGUGAAUUUGGUUCUGGUUUGGGGUGGACUGGUUUAGUUAGUAAGGACAAGCUCCUGAAUCAACUUCAUUAUAUCAUGUGAUUAUCAUCUAAGGGUACAUUCCAUUAAGCCCAUCAGUUGAUAGCAAAACACAUUGCCAUUGUUGUAAGGGAAAAAUUGAUCAUAUAGUCUUUUGAUGGAUAAUUUUACUUUGAAUGAAUCAGCAAAAUUGCGAACCCAUUAGUUUUUAAUUUAUGAUUCCAAAUUGCUUACCUUUGAAAUGGUUCAGUCCAUGCUGUUGUUGCCAAAAUAUAAUUUCAGUUUAUCAAAUGCAAAUACCAAUGUUACUGAUUUUUUUCAGGAGCAAAAUUGAGUUCAAGUGAAGUGCACAAGUGAUGGGACAGUCAACAUCAAUCCAACCUUUGCUACAAGUGUUAGACAUAGUUCAUUUCAUUUUGAUGUGUUCAAACUAGCUAGUGUGUGUCCGAUACCUUAUGUGUUUCAGUUGUGCGUGUGUUAUCGACUAUGUUUGACAUUGGAUGGUUUCAUUAAUCAUUUGUACGAACAAAGCAUAUUUUGGAUUAAUGGAUGUCUAACUGCUUCUUUCAUCCUA